rnacentral:ncRNA from 1 species
UCUGUCCAGAGCAUCCUGCUCUAAAGCCCUUGCCAUCACCCCAACUAAGAUCAAAAUGCAGCUGAGCUGUCAUAAGCCUGUGAUGCACCCAAAACCAACCUGAAAACAAUCCAAUGAUUAACUAACCAUCACGAAAGCUAGAAUACAAACUGGGAUUAGAUACCCCACUAUGCCUAGCCCUAAAUCUUGAUACUUUCCCCACUAAAGAAUUUGCCAGAGAACUACGAGCACAAAGGCUUAAAACUCUAAGGGCUUGGCAGUGCCCCAAACCCACCUAGAGGAGCCUGUUCUAUAUUCAAUAACCCACGAUACACCCGACCACUCCUUGCCAAGGCAGCCUACAUACCGCUGUCACCGUCCACCUCCCCUGUGAGAACAGCAGUGAGCACACCGGCCCCCCACUAACAAGACAGGUCAAGGUAUAGCCCAUGGAGGGGAAGAAAUGGGCUACAUUUUUUGUAAUAGAGAAGCACGGAAAGAGGCGAGAAGCCACCUCUGGAAGGUGGAUUUAGCAGUAAAGAAGGACAAUAAAGCCACCUUUAAACUGGCCCUGGAGCACGUACAUACGACCCGUCACCCUCCUCAAAAGCUACAACUCCUACCUAUUUAAUACCCCAGCUGGCUAAAGAUGAGUUAAGUCGUACCAAGGCAAGUGUACCGGAAGGUGUACUUAGCAUACCUAGGCA